rnacentral:rRNA from 1 species
GACGAACCGUGCGAACGUUGUUCGGAUUCACUGGGCUUAAAGGGCGCGUAGGCGGUGCUGUAAGUCUGUAGUGAAAUCUCUGGGCUCAACUCAGAGUCUGCUAUAGAAACUGCAGUGCUGGAGUGUGGGAGAGGUGAGUGGAAUUCCCGGUGUAGCGGUGAAAUGCGUAGAUAGUCGGGAGGAACACCUGUGGCGAAAGCGGCUCACUGGACCACAACUGACGCUGAGGAGCGAAAGCGUGGGGAGCGAACAGG